UACGAAGGGGGCUAGCGUUGUUCGGAAUUACUGGGCGUAAAGGGCGCGUAGGCGGCUUCAACAGUCGGGCGCGAAAUGCCUGGGCUUAACCCAGGAACUGCGUUCGAAACUGCGAGGCUAGAGUGUGGGAGAGGUUGGUGGAAUUCCCAGUGUAGAGGUGAAAUUCGUAGAUAUUGGGAAGAACACCGGUGGCGAAGGCGGCCAACUGGACCACAACUGACGCUGAGGCGCGAAAGCGUGGGGAGCAAACAGG
rnacentral:rRNA from 1 species